rnacentral:miRNA from 1 species
GCCGUCGGCAUCUGUGGUUCCUCCAUGAAAACAGUGACUGGCGGGGCCUGGACCUGUAACAGGACUUCUGCCAUCACAGUGAAGUCUGCC